GUAAUGUCUACACAUAAGGUUAUUGCACACAGCUUCACAUCUAAUUUGUGAGGUGUUGUAAUAAGGAAACUAUUUCAGGAUAAAUGUCUCAGCCAGUUGGUUAUUUGAGGAUAUCUGCUAGCCGUUAUACCAAGACAGAUCACGCUUGCUACUAUGAUGUCUGAUAAAUGUUUACUGCACAACAUCUUGCUUAAUCAGAUUCCUUGUGCUGCUGUUCUCCCAAUCACAUUUGGCUGAGUGAAAGCUGUCAAGUUAAGUAAUUUGCUUAUGAGAUUUCAGGGGACGUUGUUUCUCAAGAGUGUGGGGAUGCCUUACUGCCCAGUUCUCUACAUCAGCAAGCAGUUAAUACCUCUGCUCUCACCAUGGGAUUCAUCAGGGCCUUGCAGAGAAAACUGAUAGCAGUCGUCCUGUCCUUCUGCCGCAGAUGGGGAAACUGAGGCACGGCAGUGAGUGUUGUUCAGUGUGCAGCAGUAACAGUGCUUGCCUGGAGAUAACCCAGCUCUGCUGAGAUUGUGUCCGGUGUGCUUCCCAAUGGCUCCCAAAGCCAUAAAAUAAUCAAGGAAGAACUUGUCAGAGCACAUCCGCUCCAGUGUUCCUGGCAAAAGUAUAUCCAUUGUCCUGAUUUAAUUUAGAGAUUUUGACACUCAUGAUUUGUGGAGGUAAAGCCAUCGGUGGCCUGAUUGUGUCUCUCAGACAGUCAGACCAAGAAAAAUAUCAGGAAAGCUAAAUCAUUUAAAUGCUGGUACUGCCAGGGCUCUAAGUGCACGUACUUGGAAGUGGAACCCCAGAGAUUUUGGUGGGAUUCCAUGUGGACCGAGUAAUCUUUCUCACUCAAAGGAGCUUAUAAUAUCAAAACCACUGUGAGAAAGCCAUCUCUAGGCAAAGCUUACUGAGCUGAAGACUUUCCAAGAGCACAUCAGGUAAUGCUCAAAAAAAAGUGGUUUACUGAAGAUGAAUAAUACAUUUCGAUGACUACUGCACCUGUCAGGUCUUCUGCCGGCCUCAGAAAGGGUGAGUCACCAGUCCUCUUGCAGUUUGGUUUGCAUAGAAGUGGCAUGGGGAAAUACGAGUGAAAUAUUCUCUUCAAAACAAAGAGGUAAGGAAAAGAUGAUUGAUUAGAUCCAAGUACAAAAAGGAAAGUACAUAAACCUCUGUAUUCACCCCCAUAUGCUCCUUCUCAGGAGUGAAAGAAGAUAAAAAAAUCCUGCAAGGCUUAUACAUUUAUUAUUGUCUAUAACUCUGUGCUUUGUGUUGCCUUUUGAUCCUUGAAGUGCUGCUUUUUCAGUGCUGAGUGUAAACAAAUAGAUACAGUGAGUGCGUUUUCCUCCUACUGCAUGUGUAUGAAGAGCAUCCAAAGGAGGCUUUUGUGAUCCAUCAGACUGGUUCACCUUGAGCUCAUCAAGUCCUUCAGUUAAGCACGAGUUCAUUAAUGAAUUGCUCUGCCUGUCACUUCUAUUUAGGUAAUGGCAUUGAAUGCUCUGAUGAUAUCAGCCCAGUAUUGUUCCUUUGCUGUCAAAGAUAAGCAAUGGAAAUGUCACAGGCAAUUAGAUUAAAGUGCCACUGCUGCUGAUUAAGAAAUAACAAAUCGGAUUAACUCAUCAGUGCUUUUUGAAUGCUCGUAACUGGAUGAAUUUUAAGUUCUUGUGGCUGGUUUAGAGAGCUAUUUAGGCACCCAGCACUCCAUAUUUUAAGAUUAAGUUGCUAUUUUACAUCUACUUCCUAAUUCACUUCAGUAUUCUAAAAAUGUAUAAUUCCCAUGUUAUGAAACUUGAAAAGACUCUUUAACCCACAUCCUGAAACACAACAAAUGGCAAGAAACACCUACAACAGAAGAUUGUCACAUGAACAAAGGCGUAUAAACUGGCUAUAGAUGAAAGAUAGAUUUCACACCAUCAGGGAGGGAAAGUUCCUGCUGCAGCUUCUCUAAGGAACAGUGGGGAGCAAGCCCCUGAUUGUAGGGGGUGGGACUUAAUCAGACCAUGAAAGAAUUGAUUCUGCUCCUUGGAUGUCUGCAGUAGGAGGAGACAACGCUGAGUGAUGGAGGAGGUCUCUUCCAGGCUGUGGGCUCUUAUGAAUGAUCUCAGGCUGUGAAAUAUUGAAGGAAAUGUCAUCUUCUAAAGAUUUCAUCAAAAAGGGAUUGUAAACUGCUCUACAGAUCAUACAGAAAAAAGAGAAAUAGUUUCUGGCACCUACUGGAUCAGCCAAAAGGCCUAUGAGAUCAUUCAAGUAUGGAGACUUGGCAGCUUCUCUCCACGUACAAAGACGGCUGUUUGAAUGUCCGACUGAGUGCCUUUCUGG